GAUGAACGCUGGCGGCGUGCCUAAUACAUGCAAGUCGAGCGAACAGACGAGGAUUUUGCUUCUCUGACGUUAGCGGCGGACGGGUGAGUAACACGUGGCUAACCUACCUAUAAGACUGGGAUAACUUCGGGAAACCGGAUCUAAUAUCGGAUAAUAUAUUGAACCGCAUGGUUCAAUAGUGAAAGACGGAUUUGCUGUCACUUAUAGAUGGAUCCGCGCCGCAUUAGCUAGUUGGUAGGGUAACGGCUUACCAAGGCAACGAUGCGUAGCUGACCUGAGAGGGUGAUCAGCCACACUGGAACUGAGACACGGUCCAGACUCCUACGGGAGGCAGCAGUAGGGAAUCUUCCACAAUGGGCGAAAGCCUGACGGAGCAACGCCGCGUGAGUGAUGAAGGUCUUCGGAUCGUAAAGCUCUGUUAUUGGGGAAGAACAGAUGUGUACGUAAAUAUGGACGUCUUGACGGUACCUAAUCAGAAAGCCACGGCUAACUACGUG
rnacentral:rRNA from 1 species